AUCCGGUUUGAAUACAUGUGUUUUCUGACUUUUCGGAUAGCCAACUCUUGUUUUUUGGAACUUACGACUUAUGGCAAGAGAGAAAAAAACUGUGACUUUAAAAGAAAACCAGUGAGAUAAAAUCAUAGAAAAUGUAUGAUGAUUCAGGAUGUGGUCAUUUGUGACAUUAAAACAGGAAUUGUCAUCACCAAUAGACGAAUUUCACAUUCCCAAGAGUUUUCUCCAAUUGUCGGCGUAUCGCUCAUUUUUCCCACUUUGUCCUUUGUCCUGUUCUGUGGAUGCCCUAAGACAGUGUCUACCAAUCACACCAUCUGAUAAUCACUUGUUCUGAGCAUAUUUCUCUCUCAAACUUAAACUACAGAGAGCCUGUGGAUAGAGGAUGAAGAGUGACCUUGGACUAAUUUUCUAGGUCAAAGGUCAAUCAUAUGUGAUGUGAAGAAAACCAGGAAACUGAUGUUGAAAGAAGUACUUAAUGACCCUUAUGAAUGGACUUAAAUGUGAAAGACUGUUCCAUUGUUUAUCUAAGAUAUAUGAAUUUAUUUAAUAUUUUGAUAUCAUUGAAAAAUUCAGUUACAGUUUUUGUACAUCAAAUGAAUUAUUAAACACAUA